rnacentral:misc_RNA from 1 species
GAUGAAGAACGCAGCGAAAUGCGAUAAGUAAUGUGAAUUGCAGAAUCCAGUGAAUCAUCGAAUCUUUGAACGCACAUUGCGCCCGCCAGCAUUCUGGCGGGCAUGCCUGUUCGAGCGUCAUUUCAACCCUCGACCUCCCCUUGGGGAGGUCGGCGUUGGGGACCGGCAGCACACCGCCGGCCCUGAAAUGGAGUGGCGGCCCGUCUGCGGCGACCUCUGCGUAGUAAUACAGCUCGCACCGGAACCCCGACGCGGCCACGCCGUAAAACACCCAACUUCAGAACGUUGACCUCGAAUCAGGUAGGACUACCCGCUGAACUUAAGCAUAUCAAUAAGCGGAGGA